UACGGGGGGGAGCAAGCGUUGUUCGGAUUUACUGGGCGUAAAGGGCGCGUAGGCGGUCGUGACAAGUCACUUGUGAAAUCUCCGGGCUUAACCCGGAAAGGUCAGCCGAUACUGCGGGGCUAGAGUGCAGAAGGGGCAACUGGAAUUCUCGGUGUAGCGGUGAAAUGCGUAGAGAUGCGGAGGAACACCGAUGGCGAAGGCAGCCCCCUGGGCUAACACUGACGCUCAGGCACGAAAGCGUGGGGAGCAAACAGG
rnacentral:rRNA from 1 species